rnacentral:rRNA from 1 species
AGAGUUUGAUCCUGGCUCAGAAUGAACGCUGGCGGCGUGCUUAACACAUGCAAGUCGCACGAGAACUCUUCUGCUUGCAGAAGAUAGUAAAGUGGCGCACGGGUGAGUAACGCGUGGGCAAUCUACCUCCGAAUCGGGGAUAACCCGCCGAAAGGCGAGCUAAUACCGGAUAAUAUCUUUAAAACAUCGGUUUUUUGGAUCAAAGGUGGCUUCUACAUGUAAGCUACUGUUUGGAGAUGAGCCCGCGUACCAUUAGCUUGUUGGUAGGGUAAUGGCCUACCAAGGCUUCGAUGGUUAGCUGGUCUGAGAGGAUGAUCAGCCACACUGGAACUGACACACGGUCCAGACUCCUACGGGAGGCAGCAGUGAGGAAUUUUGCGCAAUGGGGGAAACCCUGACGCAGCAACGCCGCGUGAGCGAUGAAGGCCUUCGGGUCGUAAAGCUCUGUCAAGUGGGAAGAACACAAUGACGUACCACUAAAGAAGCCCCGCUAACUU